GAUGAACGCUAGCGGCAGGCCUAAUACAUGCAAGUCGAACGGGAUCCAGAUCAAAGCUUGCUUUGGUCUGGUGAGAGUGGCGCACGGGUGCGUAACGCGUGAGCAACCUACCCUUGUCAGGGGAUAGCCCGGCGAAAGUCGGAUUAAUACCGCAUGACAUCAUUGAGAGGCAUCUUUCGAUGAUCAAAGAUUUAUCGGACAAGGAUGGGCUCGCGUGACAUUAGCUAGUUGGUAAGGUAACGGCUUACCAAGGCUGCGAUGUCUAGGGGCUCUGAGAGGAGAAUCCCCCACACUGGUACUGAGACACGGACCAGACUCCUACGGGAGGCAGCAGUAAGGAAUAUUGGUCAAUGGACGGAAGUCUGAACCAGCCAUGCCGCGUGCAGGAGGACGGCCCUAUGGGUUGUAAACUGCUUUUAUACGGGAACAAACGUCGGUACGUGUACCGGUCUGAGUGUACCGUAAGAAUAAGGAUCGGCUAACUCCGUG
rnacentral:rRNA from 1 species